GGAUUCCUAAGAAAAACUGUGCACCCAAACUUCAUUUCAGCAUUUGAUUCUGGGAAACUGAACUUGCAACAGAGAUCAAGAUACUAUCAAGAUUCUGUAACCAGAUUCUUCAAUUUCUAAACCAGAAAUAAAUACUAAAGGAGGCAACAAGGAUGAGGACGGAUGGGUGCACAUCCAGUAUGAUGGGAAAGAUGGCAUCGUUGAGCACUGGACAGCCUACCUGCCCCUAAAGUUCUUGUUGUGUAAGACUGUUCAAGAAGCUUUAGAUAACUUAGAGAUAUAUUCGCUGGUUCAGAAGCUGAAUCCUCAAGGUGGUACUAACCCUAGUCAUUGGCAGCAGAGAAUCUCAGAGUCUUCAAAGUUGAUGUAUGGUGUUUUGUCCAAGUGAAAAUAUUCUCCAAAGUAAUGACCUCAAGAUAAAACCAAGAUAAAGAACUGGCAUCAUUAUGUUUGGCAGGCAUAGGCAGUACUUAAUGCUCAAACUGAAAUGAUUGAAACUAACCUCAUGGAAAAAUGCAAACACUCAAAAGUUUCCACCGAAUCAAAAUGGGAGGUGCUGUGUUUGACCCAAAGGGGUCUGUCCUCUCUCAGCAUCUUGAUAGAAACCUCAGUCCGCGGGAUCAAGAUCCAUGGCCACGAUGAAGUUUUCCUCGGCGUCCCACCGUGGGGUCUUUUCCCAGCGCUACGGCCGGUUACAAGGUAAUCUGGCUCUGGAGAUGUCGACUGAGUGAGAAACGAGAAGGCAAAGUCUCAUGUCUGUACACACACGGACUGGAAGUGUGUGCAUGCUGGUUCCGAAGUUACCCCUGCCUCCUGCAAGUCUUGUGUAAGGGUCUGGAAACGUCUCUCAUCUGUUCUGGAACCUGGUUCCAAUAAACCUGGGGAAAUCUUUGCAAAUCUUAGAAAAUA